rnacentral:rRNA from 1 species
CCUACGGGUGGCAGCAGUGAGGAAUAUUGGUCAAUGGGCGCGAGCCUGAACCAGCCAAGUCGCGUGAAGGAUGACUGCCCUAUGGGUUGUAAACUUCUUUUAUAAAGGAAUAAAGGUAUGCACGUGUGCCUUUUUGCAUGUACUUUAUGAAUAAGCAUCGGCUAACUCCGUGCCAGCAGCCGCGGUAAUACGGAGGAUCCGAGCGUUAUCCGGAUUUAUUGGGUUUAAAGGGAGCGUAGAUGGGUUGUUAAGUCAGUGGUGAAAGUUUGCGGCUCAACCGUAAAAUUGCAAUUGAUACUGGCAGUCUUGAGUACGGUUGAGGUAGGCGGAAUGCGUGGUGUAGCGGUGAAAUGCAUAGAUAUCACGAAGAACUCCGAUUGCGAAGGCAGCUUACUAAGCUGCAACUGACAUUGAUGCACGAAAGUGUGGGUAUCAAACAGGAUUAGAUACCCGAGUAGUC